UGAGCACUGGAAGAAAAUCACCAACACCUAGCAAGAUUAGGUGAAUACCCAAGAUCGUGGUAAUUUUGUUUCUAUCUUUCCA
rnacentral:antisense_RNA from 1 species